rnacentral:lncRNA from 1 species
CCUGUGGUGUUAGUGUUAUACAGUACUACAUACCUGUGGUGUUAUAGUGUUAUACAGUACUACAUACCUGUGGUGUUAUAGUGUUAUACAGUAUUACAGUACCUGUGGUGUUAGUGUUAUACAGUA